rnacentral:snoRNA from 1 species
AUACGAGCCCAUAGAGUCGCGAAUGCAGAUUUAUAAAUAUUGCAUUCGUGCUGAGGGUACUCGAAAAAUAAAAAUCAAUCCCGACUAUGCGUCUCGCUGUAAUACAGUGCAGCGGGAUCACCGUACAGGGAUUU